UCAUUCAAAAAUGUAUUGCUUAGAGAGUAGAUGGAAGUGCAUUAAUUAAUAAGUAUAAUUCCAGAUCCUAUUAACACGGCCAAGAAGCAAAAGACUGCAACUUCGCUGCAAAGUUCCUUCGGACAAAAUCCUCAAGGAACAAAUUCACCUGGGGCAAGCACUUCAACGAAUCUAAAACGGCGUUCAGAUCAUCAGCCAAAAAUCUUCAAGGACAACAGUGACAUGAUUUUAAAACGACUGCUCGAGGAGAAAGACUGGAAAGCAAUAAAAAUAGUUUUGCAGAUAGGUAAAAGUUUGAGCCACCAGUGUCUGAAGACCAUUGGUAACCUUGCUCUCGCUGAAGGACAAACAGAUGUCUUGAAGAUCUGUUGGCUGAAGAUGGAAGAAGGCGAAAACUCAGAUGAAUCUCACGAUCAAGAAUAGGAUACCAAACAUUCAAGAGUUAAUAUUCUUAGGUCAAUCAAAUUUGUCUUUGGAUGUUUGUGGAGCAAUAAAGUAGAUCUUUAAGUACGUCGUGGUAAAGUGACGGUUAGUCUUGUUAAACUCUGAUAUUCUGGCAGAUAUAUGGAUAGUCUUAUAAAACUAUAAUAUAAAAGUAGAUUUCAUGUGGUGCCUUUUAAUAAAAAAAUAUAAAUAAUAAACAUAAA